AUUGAACGCUGGCGGCAGGCCUAACACAUGCAAGUCGAACGGUAACAGGAAGCAGCUUGCUGCUUUGCUGACGAGUGGCGGACGGGUGAGUAAUGUCUGGGAAACUGCCUGAUGGAGGGGGAUAACUACUGGAAACGGUAGCUAAUACCGCAUAACGUCGCAAGACCAAAGGGGGGGGCCUUCGGGCCUCUUGCCAUCGGAUGUGCCCAGAUGGGAUUAGCUAGUAGGUGGGGUAACGGCCCACCUAGGCGACGAUCCCUAGCUGGUCUGAGAGGAUGACCAGCCACACUGGAACUGAGACACGGUCCAGACUCCUACGGGAGGCAGCAGUGGGGAAUAUUGCACAAUGGGCGCAAGCCUGAUGCAGCCAUGCCGCGUGUAUGAAGAAGGCCUUCGGGUUGUAAAGUACUUUCAGCGGGGAGGAAGGGAGUAAAGUUAAUACCUUUGCUCAUUGACGUUACCCGCAGAAGAAGCACCGGCUAACUCCGUG
rnacentral:rRNA from 1 species